AUACGUAGGGUGCAAGCGUUAAUCGGAAUUACUGGGCGUAAAGCGUGCGCAGGCGGUUUCGUAAGACAGUGGUGAAAUCCCCGGGCUCAACCUGGGAACUGCCAUUGUGACUGCAAGGCUGGAGUGCGGCAGAGGGGGAUGGAAUUCCGCGGGUAGCAGUGAAAUGCGUAGAUAUGCGGAGGAACACCGAUGGCGAAGGCAAUCCCCUGGUCCUGCACUGACGCUCAUGCACGAAAGCGUGGGGAGCAAACAGGAUUAGAUACCCUGGUAGUCCACGCCCUAAACGAUGUCAACUGGGUGUGGGGUCUUAACUGACUCAGUAACGAAGCUAUCGCGUGAAGUUGACCGCCUGGGGAGUUCGGCCGCAAGGUUGAAACUCAAAUGAAUUGACGGGG
rnacentral:rRNA from 1 species